AUACGGAGGGUGCAAGCGUUAUCCGGAUUCAUUGGGUUUAAAGGGUGCGCAGGCGGAUAAUUAAGUCAGUGGUGAAAUCCCGGGGCUCAACCCCGGAACUGCCAUUGAUACUGAUAAUCUGGAAUACGGUUGAAGUGGGCGGAAUGUAGCAUGUAGCGGUGAAAUGCAUAGAGAUGCUACAGAACACCGAUCGCGAAGGCAGCUCACUAAACCGAUAUUGACGCUCAGGCACGAAAGCGUGGGGAGCGAACAGGAUUAGAUACCCUAGUAGUCC
rnacentral:rRNA from 1 species